rnacentral:rRNA from 1 species
GGGGGCCCGCAAGCGGUGGAGCAUGUGGUUUAAUUCGAUGCAACGCGGAAAACCUUACCUGGUCUUGACAUCCAUAGAAUUUGAUAGAAAUAUCAAAGUGCCUUCGGGAACUAUGAGACAGGUGCUGCAUGGCUGUCGUCAGCUCGUGUUGUGAAAUGUUGGGUUAAGUCCCGCAACGAGCGCAACCCUUAUCCUUUGUUGCCAUCAGGUAAAGCUGGGAACUCAAAGGAGACUGCCGGUUAUAAACCGGAGGAAGGUGGGGACGACGUCAAGUCAUCAUGGCCCUUACGACCAGGGCUACACACGUGCUACAAUGGUAUAUACAAAGAGAUGCAACUCUGCAAGGAUAAGCAAACCUCAUAAAGUGUAUCGUAGUCCGGACUGGAGUCUGCAACUCGACUCCACGAAGUCGGAAUCGCUAGUAAUCGUGGAUCAGAAUGCCACGGUGAAUACGUUCCCGGGCCUUGUACACACC